rnacentral:ncRNA from 1 species
CACAGGUCUGGUCCUGGCCUUACUAUUAGUUGAUAGCAAAAUUACACAUGCAAGUAUCCGCACCCCAGUGAGAAUGCCCUCUAGGCCUACAACAGACCAAAAGGAGCGAGCAUCAAGCACACUGACCAUAACAGUAGCUCACAACGCUUUGCUCAACCACACCCCCACGGGACACAGCAGUGAUAAAAAUUAAGCAAUGAGCGAAAGCCCGACUAAAUUAUGCUAUAUCAGGGUUGGUAAAUGUCGUGCCAGCAACCGCGGUCAUACGACUAACCCAAAUUAAUAGUUCACGGCGUAAAGCGUGUUUAAGACACCAUCACCAAUAAAGUUAAAUUUUCACCCUGCCGUAAAAAGCCCUGGUAAAAACAAAAAUACCCCACGAAAGUGACUUUAAAAAGCCUGAAUACACGAUAGCCAGGACCCAAACUGGGAUUAGAUACCCCACUAUGCCUGGCCCUAAACCAAGACAGUUCAUAAACAAAACUGUUCGCCAGAGUACUACUAGCAACAGCUUAAAACUCAAAGGACUUGGCGGUGCUUUACAUCCCCCUAGAGGAGCCUGUUCUGUAAUCGAUAAACCCCGUUACACCUCACCACCCCUUGCUAAUACAGCCUAUAUACCGCCAUCUUCAGCAAACCCUAACAAGGAGCCAAAGUGAGCACAACGAUACACACAAAGACGUUAGGUCAAGGUGUAGCCUAUGGGAUGGGAAGAAAUGGGCUACAUUUUCUAAAAAUAGAACACCCACGAAAACCUUAAUGAAACACCCUUAAGCAUAAGGCGGAUUUAGUAGUAAGCUAAGAAUAGAGAGCUUAGCUGAACUAGGCCAUAAAGCACGCACACACCGCCCGUCACCCUCUUCAAUUAUUCAUAAACUCCACUUUCAUAAACCCUAGUUAAUUAUAAUAUGAGAAGAGACAAGUCGUAACAAGGUAAGCAUACUGGAAGGUGUGCUUGGACCAA